GCCGAUGUGGUGGAAUUGGUAGACACGCUAUCUUGAGGGGGUAGUGGUUUUAUUACUGUGCGAGUUCGAGUCUCGCCAUCGGCA
rnacentral:tRNA from 1 species